ACGGAACUUCUUUGACAGAAUUCUUCGGAAGGAAGUUGAUUAAGUUUAGUGGCGGACGGGUGAGUAACGCGUGAGUAACCUGCCUUUGAGAGGGGAAUAACUUCCCGAAAGGGAUGCUAAUACCGCAUGACGCAUAUUUAUCGCAUGGUAGAUAUGCCAAAGAUUUAUCGCUCAAAGAUGGACCCGCGUCCGAUUAGCCAGUUGGCGGGGUAACGGCCCACCAAAGCGACGAUUGGUAGCCGGACUGAGAGGUUGAACGGCCACAUUGGGACUGAGACACGGCCCAGACUCCUACGGGAGGCAGCAGUGGGGGAUAUUGCGCAAUGGGGGAAACCCUGACGCAGCAACGCCGCGUGAAGGAUGAAGGUUUUCGGAUUGUAAACUUCUUUUACUUAGGACGAAUUAUGACGGUACUAAAUGAAUAAGCUCCGGCUAACUACGUGCCAGCAGCCGCGGUAAUACGUAGGGAGCAAGCGUUAUCCGGAUUUACUGGGUGUAAAGGGUGCGUAGGCGGCUUGGUAAGUCAGAUGUGAAAUGUAUGGGCUCAACCCAUGCACUGCAUUUGAAACUAUUGAGCUUGAGUGAAGUAGAGGUAGGCGGAAUUCCCUGUGUAGCGGUGAAAUGCGUAGAGAUAGGGAGGAACACCAGUGGCGAAGGCGGCCUACUGGGCUUUAACUGACGCUGAGGCACGAAAGCGUGGGUAGCAAACAGGAUUAGAUACCCUGGUAGUCCACGCUGUAAACGAUGAUUACUAGGUGUGG
rnacentral:rRNA from 1 species